AAUAAGCGCAGACAUGAGUUUUCGUGUCCAACUUUAAUCGUUCGUCUUAUUUGAAUUUUUUAUUAUUAGUAUUUUUAUUGUUAUUAGAUUAUAAAACAUGAAUAAUAAUUUAUGUGUGACUUAAUUUUUUAAUUUUUUUUAAAAAAUUAAAUAAGACGAAUGAUUAAAGUUGGACACGGAAACUCAUGGUUGCGCUUAUU
rfam:Oryza sativa Japonica Group DNA, chromosome 8, cultivar: Nipponbare, complete sequence.